rnacentral:tRNA from 1 species
GUCGGAGUGGCGGAAUUGGCAGACGCGCUAGCUUGAGGGGCUAGUGGGCUUAGGCUCGUGGGGGUUCAAGUCCCCCCUCCGACA